AACCUCCGCAAUGUGAGAAAUCGCGACGGGGGGAUCCCAAGUGCCAUUCUUAACGGGAUGGCUUUUCAUUAGUGUAAAAAGCUUUUGGAAUAAGAGCUGGGCAAGACCGGUGCCAGCCGCCGCGGUAACACCGGCAGCUCUAGUGGUAGCAAUUUUUAUUGGGCCUAAAGCGUCCGUAGCCGGUUUAAUAAGUCUCUGGUGAAAUCCUGUAGCUUAACUGUGGGAAUUGCUGGAGAUACUAUUAGACUUGAGACCGGGAGAGGUUAGAGGUACUCCCAGGGUAGAGGUGAAAUUCUGUAAUCCUGGGAGGACCGCCUGUUGCGAAGGCGUCUAACUGGAACGGUUCUGACGGUGAGGGACGAAAGUUAGGGGCGCGAACCGGAUUAGAUACCCGGGUAGUCCUAACUGUAAACGAUGCGGACUUGGUGUUGGGGUGGCCUUGAGCUGCUCCAGUGCCGAAGGGAAGCUGUUAAGUCCGCCGCCUGGGAAGUACGGUCGCAAGACUGAAACUUAAAGGAAUU
rnacentral:rRNA from 1 species